rnacentral:lncRNA from 1 species
AGUCCUGCAGGGCGGGGCAAACUUGGAGAGGCGCUGCGUCGGGGGACGGGGCUACAAGCCGUCGCUGGGGGCGGGGCUUGCGGCCCACCUGUAGGUCCCGGUGCCACCUCGUCAGUGUCCCGAGAGAUCCCCAGAAGAACGAGAGGGCUGAACAGGGGACCCCACUGACGUCCGGUGGGCCGACUUUACGAUCCUUUAGGAUGAAGAAACUAAGACUCAGAGAAGACAAAUGACAUGCCCAAAGACACAUUGAUAAGAACGCAUCUGGUAGUGGUGUUCGAGUCCAGCGUUGCAGCAGAGAGAUGGGUAACUGUAUGGCCGAACAGCUGUCUUCUCGUGGAAGAAGGAGGCCAAUGUCCAGGAGUGGCAGGCAUACUGGAACUUGGACUUCUGUAGGCCAACCUGGGUUCCACUUGGUAGAUGGGGGUCUUGCUGUGUUGCCCAGGCUGGUCUCAAACUCCUGGCCUGAAGCAGUCCUCCUCCCUUAGCCUCCAGAGUAGCUGGGACUACAGGUACACACCACUGCAACCCCUCAGUGGUUGUUAUUUAACUGAAGGGGGUUUUAGCUUUCAUGUAUCAGCUCACUCUGGAGCCAGACAGCCUGGCCUUCAUGGCAGCUCUGCCCCUUACUACCUGUGUGACAUCGGGCAACGUUACUGAGUGUCAGAUUUCUUAUUUGUAAAACAGGGAUAAAAAUGACAUUGCUGUGCAAAUUAAAAGAAAGAAUCCAUGUGA